rnacentral:rRNA from 1 species
UACAUGGGGUGCAAACGUUGCUCGGAAUUAUUGGGCGUAAAGCGCACGUAGGCGGUUUGUUAAGUCGGAUGUGAAAUCCCUCGGCUCAACUGAGGAAGUGCACCCGAAACUGGCAAGCUUGAGUACUAAAGAGGGUCGCGGAAUUCCAGGUGUAGCGGUGAAAUGCGUAGAUAUCUGGAGGAACACCGGUGGCGAAGGCGGCAUCCUGGACCGGCAUUGACGCUGAGGCGCGAAAGCUAGGGGAGCAAACGGG